rnacentral:tmRNA from 1 species
GGGGACGUCCUGGCUUCGACGCCGGUAGCAAAACCUAAGGUGCAUGCCGAGAGGGAAGUGACUCUCGUAAAUCAAUUACUUCAAACAUUAUAGUCGCAAACGACGACUCUUACGCUCUAGCCGCUUAAGGCUACUCAUGAAGCCAUGUUGCCUAUCGCCGGUGAAUUGAGACUAUUGAGCGCAGCCAGAUAGGAUCGCAGCAAUGAUCGCCUUCGUCGGCGCUGCUAAAACUCAAUCGAAGGAUCGCUGAAGGGUAUCCUGUUCGUCGGAGACCUGCCAGUUAAAACAAAUGACGAAACUAAGCAUGUAGAUCCAAGGGCAGAGUGCCGACGGACGCGGGUUCAACUCCCGCCGUCUCCACCA